GAUGAACGCUGGCGGCGUGCCUAAUACAUGCAAGUCGAGCGAACAGACGAGGAGCUUGCUCCUUUGACGUUAGCGGCGGACGGGUGAGUAACAUGUGGGUAACCCACUUAUAAGACUGGGAUAACUUCGGGAAACCGGAGCUAAUACCGGAUAAUAUUUCGAACCGCAUGGUUCGAUAGUGAAAGAUGGCUUUGCUAUCACUUAUAGAUGGACUUGGGCCGUAUUAGCUAGUUGGUAGGGUAACGGCUUACCAAGGCAACGAUACGUAGCCGACCUGAGAGGGUGAUCGGCCGCACUAGAACGGGGACACGGUCCAGACUCCUACGGGAGGCAGCAGUAGGGAAUCUUCCGCAAUGGGCGAAAGCCUGACGCAGCAGCGCCGCGUGGGUGAUGAAGGUCUUCGGAUCGUAAAGCUCUGUUAUUAGGGAAGAACAAACGUGUAAGUAACUGUGGACGUCUUGACGGUACCUAAUCAGAAAGCCACGGCUAACUACGUG
rnacentral:rRNA from 1 species